GGGCCAGUGUAACCUGUCUGCAGUGGGCGGGGCCAGGGCAGCACCGCCUCCUGCACUUGAAGCGCUGAGACCGGCGCUCAGACUCUGGGCACCUACGCCCCAACUGACUUGGCUCGCCAGCGAUCCUGCUAGUCCUGUCCUGUGUCUCGCGCCACUUCUGACCCAAGCCUGCUCUUUCUUUCUGUGGGACGCGCUCAUUGGAUAUAAGCUCACCUCACCUUUUGACCCUUCUCAUAUUAGUCAGGGGCAUAAAGCAAUAAAAGAGAAUUCGAAAUUGUGACUUGCCAGCUCUGAUGCGCAAACCUUGCACCUGAUAUAGGAGGAAUCAGCAGGAGCAGCCUACCUGCCCGUCGACGAUUCAUCCGUGGGAGAGAUUCUGGGGGUUUCCAUAACACCGCGUUCGUGUGUACAGGGUGGCACUCAUUGCCAUUGUUUAAUAAUAAACUGUUGGUGCGUUCGUCUCUGGCACCAGGCUGUGAGCGCCUUGAGUGCAAGAAGUGUCCUAUCCGGUCUGCCAGGUGUCCUUAUAGGCAGCGUGGGGAGUGACAUGCGGGAGGUGCUCAAAUAUUAGCAACAAAAAGUGUAUUGGGGGGAAAAGUGUAUUGAAUACAGUUGCUUAAACAGGUCCAGGAAAUAGCACCUCCUUCCUUAAAUGAAAAUAGUGCACUGAAACACACUGCAGUUAAAAGUGUUUUAACAGUGAAGAAAUGACUUAACUUUAAAAUAACCAA